rnacentral:lncRNA from 1 species
GUGGACGUCCACAGCUGAGACGGACUAUGUGUGUAUAUAUAUAUAUGUAUAUAUGUAUUCUCUUGCUUUGAACCGCUGAAAAUGACAUGACCCACCCCGAAUUUCACCCUGAAACCCGGAGUAAGUCGUGCGGGGACCACCUCGAAACCCGGAGUAAGUCGUGCAGGGACCACCUCGAAGGAAAAUUUACCGAAAAAUCGGCAUAACCUCCCUUGAAAAUGGACAACCCUUCCUAAUAAUACCUGCAUGCACUUCAAAAGAAUCCAUUUAUAAUUCUCUACUCUUGGAGCCUUCAUGCUCCCCAAAUCACAACACCACCCAAAAUUUACUAAUCUAAACAAAUCUCACAUCCAACCAUUUAUAGGUUCAGAGCAACUCUAACAGGAAGAAAGAAAACAAAAUAAAUUAACAAGCGGAAGCUAUAUGAUGACUAUGCCUCAUCUCCAUGUACGCCCGACCUCGACUAAGCUAACCUGCAAACUGGGCAUUUUUAAAACGAAAGGCCCAGGGGAAAACACUUAACAACGUUAGAGUGAGUGGACAAAAAUAAAUUAAUAAAAAUAUUUAUGCUUCCCCAUUUUAAUUUCCAAAGAAAAUAUACUGCAUGCGGCAGCUCAAAAGCCCUCAACACAAAAACUGGCAAUUUCAUGACUAGCUCCAGCUAGUCUCCAUAACUCAAAGAAAUACAGCCUCUCAGGCUAAACUAUAUAUAAACAUAUAUAAGUGUAUGUAUUUACACUCGUCAGACUCCUUGUAUGAAUUCUAAGAACAAAUUAGAAAAAUAGAAAUUCAUACAAGGCAGUCGCUUGCGUCUAACGCUCACGUCACACCAUAAUGGAAUUGUACCUCAGUAUGGCGGAAAAAGCACGAGUGUAUAUACGUGUGGACUCCCUAUAUGAAAACCUAAAUAAACCAAAUAAGAAAAUAGUUUUCAUAUAGGGCUACUACGCUUGUGUCUAACACUCACGUCACGCCAUAAUGGUAUUUUACCUCAUUAUGACGGAUCAAACACGUAUGGCUAGCUAGCAUUUAUAUAUACAUACUAUACUCACAUAAACAUCCAACAAAUAUAUCUACCGAAAAUCUCAUUUCCGGGAACUCUCCAAAAGAGGAAAAUUGCCAAAUAUUCGAGAAAUCAGAAAGUCUCAUGAAAAGAAAAUAAAUAAUCAACAAAUUAUUUCAUCGCAUGCUUUUCAAUUAAAACAAAUGUUCACUCACAACUCUAAGCAUAAACCCGACGAAAUCCAAUUCGCCACUCCAAUGAGGUUUCCUCGAACCCUAGCAAAAAUAUAUAAUUAAAUUCCCAACUAAAAUCCAAUAUUUAAACAAAAUAGGCAAAAUUAAAUAUGAGCCGCAACCACGUACGCUCAUCCUUGCCCAACUUCGCCUUUCCUAAAACGAAACGAUCCAACUUUAAUACCAUAAACGGCAGUCGUAAUUACAACCUCCCCAGAACAACGACUUAAAUUUUACGGCCGGAUUCUACAUUAAUUAACCGCCAAAAAUACCAAACUUUGGAAAAUCACAAACCUAUUCAAAACUCAUCCGAAAAUUCCAUAAUUUACAUCAAUACACUCCUCUUAAUAUUCCACAUUUAAAAACAUUAAAAUCUCCCAACAGGCGCCGGCGCCGGCGCCAGCCCCGCCGGCAGCGGCGGCCGGAGGCCGAUUCCGGCGACCUCCAAUGCCCACCAAAUUUUAGCAGCAUCUUCCUCUCAACUCCCUUUACAACAUUCCUAACUAGCACAAACACCAAUUCCAAGCCUAACUAGGUCAAUCGACCAAAACAACACAAAAAGCCUUAGAGCUUCCACCUCAAAUUUCUCCUUACCUGAAGCGAACCAGAGUGAGUCCUUUUAAGGCAAGGUAGCUGGGUUGGAGACCUACAAAACCGUACCAAGCUUGCCAGGAUUGGUGGCCGGAGGAGGGAGUUCCGGCGAGUGAAGCAACACGGCAGUCGCACCUUUCGAGGGAGAGCGCUCCUUCACGGUGGCGCUAGGGCGGCUAUCACCGGCCUAGAAUGGAAGCUGGGUCGGAGGGCAACCGAACGGGACCGGUGCGGCAGUCCCAGGCGGCCGGACGGUGGUGGACGAGCGGCCGGAAUGUUAGGCAGCAGGUGGACUCGGGGGAGAGGAAAACCGGGAAGAAAAAGAGAGAAGAGAAGAGUGGGUUUUGGGCCUCCACCCAAACCGGUCCAAGCCUAUAAUAUACCCAACUCCACUAAAAAAAAUUACACCCCAAAAUAAUACCCUGAUAAAAAUUACCUUUUACUAGCUAAAAUUUUACCAUUUUUACCGUUGUCAUAAUUUUCUCCUAUGAAUAAUCCUCCACAUAUAAUCGUCCCCGAAACCCCUCUAGGGACCAAUUAAACUAUUUCCUCAAUGACGGAGACGGUAAAAUUCUUAUUAUAACCAAGCUAGUAAAUAAGGUAAAAGUUUAAGGGUCGGGAUGUGAUAGAAAAGACUCAUCUCGCAUUCCAACUUUUUAAAAAUCUUUGAGAGCAACGUCAGGAGACUGAAGCAAGGCUGACAUGCUCAAAAUCAAGCAGUUCUAUGGAUUAGCUAUGAACAGAACUGGAAGGGUGCCCAAAGUAGUAUUAUGAGUGUGAAGGGAAGCUUGAAGUCCCACUAAGAAAGCUGAAGCUCCGUCAAGAAAAGUGGAGUUUGCAUACUCCGUUAAGAGACCACGUCAAAGGAGCUGGGAUAGAUAUCAAACCGCUAUAUAUUGCAAUUUGCGUUACCCAAGCCGGCCGUUGUGCUUGGCGGUUGUCACUUUAGCGAACUAAGCCCGUGGCGGAGGCCGAACAAUAUGCAGUGUGCAGCUUGUCACUAAGCGUUUGAGCGGCUGAGCGGUGUGCUCGAGGCUAGGCGUUGAGCGGCAGAUACUGAGGAGGGGAGUCUGAGUGGCAGUGGUUGAGCGGUUGAGGUCAAGCGCUCGAGGCUGAGCGGUGUGCUCGCUAGCGUGAUUUGCGGCUUGGCGGGACACGAUGGGCUAGGUGAAUAAGGUUGGGUGGGACAGGUUGGGCUCUAGUGAUUCUUUGCCUAAUAGACGCUCACUAGCGGUUUCCAUUGGUGGUCGAGACCGAGCUUAGCAGUAUUGUUCUUGUCGGGGGUUGAGCGGGACCUCUGGAGGUUUCCCUUGGCAGAGAUUGUUAUCGGUGCACGCUAGGGCUGCAUAAGGCAUUAAAAAGAUGGGCGCUGGGUCGCACCUGUGUGC